CUCAGGACGAACGCUGGCGGCGUGCUUAACACAUGCAAGUCGAACGGAAAGGCCCCUUCGGGGGUACUCGAGUGGCGAACGGGUGAGUAACACGUGGGUAAUCUGCCCUGCACUUCGGGAUAAGCCUGGGAAACUGGGUCUAAUACCGGAUAUGACCACGAGGCGCAUGCCUUGUGGUGGAAAGCUUUUGCGGUGUGGGAUGGGCCCGCGGCCUAUCAGCUUGUUGGUGGGGUGACGGCCUACCAAGGCGACGACGGGUAGCCGGCCUGAGAGGGUGUCCGGCCACACUGGGACUGAGAUACGGCCCAGACUCCUACGGGAGGCAGCAGUGGGGAAUAUUGCACAAUGGGCGCAAGCCUGAUGCAGCGACGCCGCGUGGGGGAUGACGGCCUUCGGGUUGUAAACCUCUUUCAGCAGGGACGAAGCGCAAGUGACGGUACCUGCAGAAGAAGCACCGGCCAACUACGUGCCAGCAGCCGCGGUAAUACGUAGGGUGCGAGCGUUGUCCGGAAUUACUGGGCGUAAAGAGCUCGUAGGUGGUUUGUCGCGUUGUUCGUGAAAACCGGGGGCUUAACCCUCGGCGUGCGGGCGAUACGGGCAGACUGGAGUACUGCAGGGGAGACUGGAAUUCCUGGUGUAGCGGUGGAAUGCGCAGAUAUCAGGAGGAACACCGGUGGCGAAGGCGGGUCUCUGGGCAGUAACUGACGCUGAGGAGCGAAAGCGUGGGGAGCGAACAGGAUUAGAUACCCUGGUAGUCCACGCCGUAAACGGUGGGUACUAGGUGUGGGUUUCCUUCCUUGGAAUCCGUGCCGUAGCUAACGCAUUAAGUACCCCGCCUGGGGAGUACGGCCGCAAGGCUAAAACUCAAAGGAAUUGACGGGGGCCCGCACAAGCGGCGGAGCAUGUGGAUUAAUUCGAUGCAACGCGAAGAACCUUACCUGGGUUUGACAUGCACAGGACGCCGGCAAAUGUCGUCUGU
rnacentral:rRNA from 1 species